rnacentral:rRNA from 1 species
AGAGUUUGAUCCUAGCUCAGAGUGAACGCUAGCGGUGCGCCUAAUACAUGCAAGUCGAGCGCUUUGUCCCAUGAAUCAUUGAAGCUUCGGCCGAUUUGAGGAUUGGAUUUUACAAAGAGCGGCGAACGGGUGAGUAACACGUUGGUACCUGCCCCCAAAUCAGGGAUAACUAAUUGAAAGGUUAGCUAAUACCGGAUGUGCUGGAAACAGUAAAGAUUUAUCGUUUGGGGAGGGGCCUGCGGUCUAUCAACUUGUUGGUGAGGUAAAAGCUUACCAAGGCUAUGACGGAUAGCUGAUUUGAGAGGAUGAUCAGCCACAAUGGAACUGAGACACGGUCCAUACUCCUACGGGAGGCAGCAGUAAGGAAUCUUCCGCAAUGGGCGAAAGCCUGACGGAGCGACACCGCGUGAAGGAUGAAGGUCGAAAGGUUGUAAACUUCUUUUCUGGGGGAGCACAAUGAGAGUACCUCAGGAAUAAGGGACGGCUAACUACGUGCCAGCAGCCGCGGUAAUACGUAGGUCCCAAGCGUUACUCGGAAUCACUGGGCGUAAAGCGUAUGUAGGCGGAUGAAAAAGUUGAAUAUGAAAGACCGAAGCUCAACUUCGUGUUUGUAUUCAAAACUCUUUGUCUAGAAUCAGGGAGAGGUAAGCGGAAUUCUAAGUGUAGGGGUGCAAUCCGUAGAUACUUAGAAGAACACCAAAAGCGAAGGCAGCUUACUGGAACUGUCUUGACGCUGAGAUACGAAAGCGUGGGUAGCGAAAAGGAUUAGAUACCCUUGUAGUCCACGCCCUAAACGAUGGUAACUAGGUGUUGGUCUCUAAGAUCAGUGCCGUAGCUAACGCGUUAAGUUACCCGCCUGAGGAGUACGGUCGCAAGAUUAAAACUCAAAGGAAUAGACGGGGACCCACACAAGCAGUGGAUCACGUGGUUUAAUUCGACAGUAAACGAGGAAUCUUACCUAGACUUGACAUCUUGAGAAUCCUUCAGAAAUGAAGGAGUGCCCGUAAGGGAACUCGAUGACAGGUGCUGCAUGGUUGUCGUCAGCUCGUGCCUUGAGGUGUUCGGUUAAGUCCGUUAACGAGCGCAACCCAUGUCGUUAGUUACUAUGUCUAACGAGACUGCCCUGGUUAACAGGGAGGAAGGUGUGGAUGACGUCAAAUCAGCAUGGCUUUUACGUCUAGGGCUACACACAUGAUACAAUGGUCAUUACAAAGGGUAACAAACUCGCAAGAGGGAGUAAAUCCCAAAAAGAUGAUCUAAGUCCGGAUUGAGGUCUGAAACUCGACCUCAUGAAGUUGGAAUUGCUAGUAAUCGUGAAUCAGAUAUGUCACGGUGAAUAUGUUCCUGGGUCUUGUACUCACCGCCCGUCAUGGCAUGGAAGGUGAUAAUAUCGGAAGUCCCUCUGGUAAUAUGAGGGCCCAUGGUAGGAUCACUGACUGGGCUAAAGUCGUAACAAGGUA